UACGGAGGGUGCAAGCGUUAUCCGGAUUUACUGGGUUUAAAGGGUGCGUAGGUGGGUAGGUAAGUCAGUGGUGAAAUCUUCGAGCUUAACUCGGAAACUGCCAUUGAUACUAUUUAUCUUGAAUACUCUGGAGGUAAGCGGAAUAUGUCAUGUAGCGGUGAAAUGCUUAGAUAUGACAUAGAACACCAAUUGCGGAGGCAGCUUACUACAUAGUUAUUGACACUGAGGCACGAAAGCGUGGGGAUCAAACAGG
rnacentral:rRNA from 1 species